rnacentral:misc_RNA from 1 species
GUUCCGUAGGUGAACCUGCGGAAGGAUCAUUACAGAGUUCACGCCCUCACGGGUAGAUCUCCCACCCUUGAAUAUUUAUACCUUAGUUGCUUUGGCAGGCCGUGGAAACACCAUGGGCUCCGGCUUAUGCGUGCCUGCCAGAGGAAACAAACUCUGUUUUUAGUGAUGUCUGAGUACUAUAUAAUAGUUAAAACUUUCAACAACGGAUCUCUUGGUUCUG